rnacentral:rRNA from 1 species
CCUACGGGAGGCAGCAGUGAGGAAUAUUGGUCAAUGGACGAGAGUCUGAACCAGCCAAGUAGCGUGAAGGAUGACUGCCCUAUGGGUUGUAAACUUCUUUUAUAUGGGAAUAAAAUGUUCCACGUGUGGGAUUUUGUAUGUACCAUAUGAAUAAGGAUCGGCUAACUCCGUGCCAGCAGCCGCGGUAAUACGGAGGAUCCGAGCGUUAUCCGGAUUUAUUGGGUUUAAAGGGAGCGUAGGUGGAUUGUUAAGUCAGUUGUGAAAGUUUGCGGCUCAACCGUAAAAUUGCAGUUGAAACUGGCAGUCUUGAGUACAGUAGAGGUGGGCGGAAUUCGUGGUGGAGCGGUGAAAUGCUUAGAUAUCACGAAGAACUCCGAUUGCGAAGGCAGUUCACUGGACUGCAACUGACACUGAGGCUCGAAAGUGUGGGUAUCAAACAGGAUUAGAUACCCGUGUAGUC